GGAGUCUCUCUCUGUCACCAGGCUGGAAUGCAGUGGCGUGAUCUCGGCUCACUACAAUCUCCGUCUCCUGGGUUCAAGCAAUUCCCCUGCCUCAGCCUCCCGAGUAGCUGGAACUACAGGACACAGGAGGAGAUUUUACUACAGGCCAAAAGAAGGCAAUGUGACAACGGAAGCAAGAGGCCAUGCUGCAGGCUUUGAAGACAGAGCUGGAGUAAGGGGCCUCCAGUCAAGGAAUGCAUGCUUCUGCUAGACUAGGUUGAAAACAAAAGGAAUGCAUAAAAUGCAACUCUAGAAUCUGGAAAAGGUAAAAAAAAAAAAACCAAAAAAACAAAAUUGUCUCCUAGAGUCUCCAGAGGGAGUAUGACCCUGCUGUCACCUUGAUGAUGGCCUAGCAAAACUUAUUUUAAACUUCUGGCCUCCAGAACUGUAAAACAAUAAAUGUAUGUUGCUU